GGACGAUAGCUCAUGUUGGAUAGAGCAGCGGCGUAGACGCCGAAGAUCGCCGGUUCGAUUCCGGUUCGUCCACCA
rnacentral:tRNA from 1 species